GGCCGGGUACUUGCUUAUUUGACCGAGUACCUGUAACAUUUGAGGGUGUCCAUAUAUAUACUAUCAUUUCCAUUCUUUAUUGUCCUUCGUUAAACUUUUUUUUUAUUUUCCUUGACUUUAACAAAAUUCUCUAUCAUAUAUAAACAGGCAUGAAAAUAAACUAGCCAUUUUCUUGAAUGACUAUAAGCUCAUUAUCAUGCAUGAUGAACAAGAUGAAAGGAAAAAAAAACAGACUUCUUUCAUGACAAAGAAAAAAACUCGAAUAAAAAAAGUUAUGCAUAUUAAUACUGCAUUUCAGAUGAUUUAAAGGUUGGUUAUUGUUUCUAGAAUGGCCAACAUUAAUUUCUACAGACAGGGAGUAUACAAUGAGAUCAACCUCGAAGGUGGCCUUGGUUAGAAUGGAAGGAGCCGGAGCAUGCUUGGGCAGGCUCUGGCAACCGAUGCAAUGACACAUAAAUGGACAUUUUCUAUGCGGCUGCGUCUAUCACCCUUGGCAAUGGCCAAAAGCCAAGCUUCUUUUCACUCGCCAUGGCUCGAAGGUAAGAAGCCAAAAGAUUAAAGAUAUCACACAAAAAACUUCUCGGUCUCAAAGAAGAGAUGCACACAUGCAGGACCAUGCCUGGUUCUCAAGUAUCAAUAUUCAGGCUCUGCAUCCGGCCCUUGCAAGAUUUUCCAAAACUUUGGACCUUGAUCUCUAACAAUUAUCUCAUCGACUGUUGGAAUAUUAAUACUAUUCAUGUAUCAUAUACCAAUGAAAAAUACCAUUCACAUACCACAUUUCAUUGAUGAUACCAUAUACCAAUGAGGUAGGUUCGGCCUAUUGCCACGUGGCAGCCUCAGCAUGCACCGGUACAUGACGGAGCCGGUAGAAGCAAAGUAGUCCAAGCUAACUGUAGGUUGGAUGUCUAGAUGGGGAUUUUUUUUCCUUCUUUAAUUUUUUGCCUUUGAUGCCAGGCCAAACAUGUGAACUGCCCUACGGGCGGGCCGUUUAUAAGCUUCUGCAGUUCUGCGGCAAUAAAUAUCUGUCACGCCCAGCAGGCCCAUGGCAAGGAUGGCCCACUAGGUGACCAAGAAGCCCAACCAAGGAGGGGGACUCGACUACACAAGCAUGUC
rnacentral:lncRNA from 1 species